UCUCCCUGUCUCUCCAAAUAGGGCCCAGGAGGCUUCACCCCUCCUUAGAACUGCUGAGCUAGACAGGAAUUUUACUCCUCUGGCCCAGUGUCACUUGCAGGGAAUUUUCUUCAGCUGGUGGCAGAAGAGGAUGUCAGAGAGCUUCCCAGCAUAAGAAUGAGUGGACACGCCACUGCUCAUUUGAAGCUGAAGGGGCCAUCUGAGGAGGAACAAGUGCAGCUUCUACAGUAUGAGAGUGGACCCCAGCUGGCAGCCAGCCGUGCACUGGAUUCUCCAACAGCCUGAAUGAGCUGGGGAGCCUGUUAUUUUCCCAGACAAGAAUGCAGCCAAGCUCACAAGGACUUCUGACCUACGAAAUGCCGUGUUCAUCUGCCGUUUUUGAAUCUACCCCUCCACUCCACACCCACCUUGGGAGGAGGACAGGAGAUUGGCAAGCCUCCGGACCAGGCCAGCAUCCCGUGGUAGCAGCACACUGGGUGCAUUGGUCCCUUCACGCCCCACACAUGCCCCUGUGCCUUUCAGGAAAUGUGAUGUGCCGGAGGACAUCUGAAUUGCUACCUCACAAGAGAAGUAAAUGAGAAGCAUUGUUUCAUGGGCUGUGAAAGGGACACACAGUUUGUACUCCUAUCAGCAGAGCUACUAAAAAAUGGAAAUUUAUGAUUUUUGCCCUUCAGAAAAUCCUCAUUAAGCUCCUUGAAGAAAUGGAAACCUCAUGAGCAGU
rnacentral:lncRNA from 1 species